rnacentral:rRNA from 1 species
UACGUAGGGUGCGAGCGUUGUCCGGAAUUAUUGGGCGUAAAGAGCUCGUAGGCGGCUUGUCACGUCGGUUGUGAAAGCCCGGGGCUUAACCCCGGGUCUGCAGUCGAUACGGGCAGGCUAGAGUUCGGUAGGGGAGACUGGAAUUCCUGGUGUAGCGGUGAAAUGCGCAGAUAUCAGGAGGAACACCGGUGGCGAAGGCGGGUCUCUGGGCCGAUACUGACGCUGAGGAGCGAAAGCGUGGGGAGCGAACAGG